rnacentral:rRNA from 1 species
GAAUCCUACGGGAGGCAGCAGUGAGGAAUAUUGGUCAAUGGGCGAGAGCCUGAACCAGCCAAGUCGCGUGAAGGAUGACGGCCCUACGGGUUGUAAACUUCUUUUGUCAGGGAGCAGUUGGGUCCACGCGUGGGCUUAGCGAGAGUACCUGAAGAAAAAGCAUCGGCUAACUCCGUGCCAGCAGCCGCGGUAAUACGGAGGAUGCGAGCGUUAUCCGGAUUUAUUGGGUUUAAAGGGUGCGUAGGCGGACUGUUAAGUCAGCGGUAAAAGCCCGGGGCUCAACCCCGGCGAGCCGUUGAAACUGG